rnacentral:rRNA from 1 species
CUGCGGAGGGAUCAUUACACAAUAAAAUACGAAGGCCGUUCGCGGCUGUGACAUACCUUUAUUACCGUUGUCUUUUGCGGAUCUUGCUUGUUUCCUGGGAACGGGUUCGCUCGCCAGCAGGACCACAAUAUAAACUCUUUUUUAUGCAGUUGGAACUUCUGCGUCAGUAUAACAAAUGUAAAUCAUUUACAACUUUCAACAACGGAUCUCUUGGUUCUGGCAUCGAUGAAGAACGCAGCGAAAUGCGAUACGUAGUGUGAAUUGCAGAAUUCAGUGAAUCAUCGAAUCUUUGAACGCACAUUGCGCCCUUUGCCAGUAUUCUGGCAAAGGGCAUGCCUGUUCGAGCGUCAUUUGUACCCUCAAGCUUUGCUUGGUGUUGGGCGUUUUUGUCUUUGGUCUGCCAAAGACUCGCCUUCAAAUAGAUUGGCGGUCACGGCCUACUGAGUUUCGCAUAGCGUAGUACAUUUAUACAUGCGCUUGCACUAAGGUAAUCGUGGACGGCCACUCCGUUAAGACUCCAACUUCUGCAUGUUGACCUCGGAUCAGGUAGGGAUAGCCGCUGAACUUAAGCAUAUCAAUAAGCGGAGGAA